GCGCUGGUGGUGUAGGGGUUAAAAGCACGCCACCAUGCGCAGAGGCUAUAGUCCUUGAUGUGUCUGUCCCGGGUUCGAGUACCGGCCCCAGUGCC